AUUGAACGCUGGCGGCAGGCCUAACACAUGCAAGUCGAGCGAGCGGCGGACGGGUGAGUAAUGUCUGUUCAACUGCCUGAUGGAGGGGGCUAACUACUGGAACCGGUAGCUAAUACCGCCUACCAUCUGUUGUGCCCUGGUGGGAUUAGCUAGUAGGUGGGGUAAAGGCUCACCUAGGCGACGAUCCCUAGCUGGUCUGAGAGGAGAACCAGCCAGACUGGAAAUGAGACACGGUGCAGACUCCUACGGGAGGCAGGAGGGGGGAAUAUUGCACAAAGGGCGCAAGACUGAUGCAGCCAUGCCGCGUGUAUGAAGAAGGCCUUGGGGUUGGAAAGUAAUUGCAGCGGAGAGGGGUGCCCCGCAGAAGAAGCACCGGCUAAAUCCGUGCCAGCAGCCGCGGUAAGU
rnacentral:rRNA from 1 species